GUUUGUGGAUGGUGUUCAGCAUCAAGAAAAGGUGUGUUUACCUGUGUGUGGAGGAUGGUGUUCAGCAUUAAGUACAGGUAUAUAUGUUU
rnacentral:pre_miRNA from 1 species